GCAUCUUUUUCUGUAAACCAACCACCACCAAAAUGAUGACUGGAGGCUUAAGUGAAACUAAAUCUGCAACUCCAGAAACGCAGAAGAUAGUUGACGAGUAACAUCAACUGGAAAAUCUUUCUACUGACAGUAACAUCAGCUGGAAAAUCCAAGAGUAUGUAUUUAUAUAAGACACCACAGAUUACGUGAGAAGUUAGAAGUUGACAAUUUUAACACUGCCUGAAGUAUUAGGGUACGUGUUGGAGGUGAUCAAUAUGCACAUUUGAAAGUAUUUCAACCUCUCCCUCACACAAAUAAGCCAAUGGAGCUGUCAGAU